rnacentral:rRNA from 1 species
GAUGAACGCUGGCGGCGUGCCUAAUACAUGCAAGUCGAGCGAACGGACGAGAAGCUUGCUUUUCUGAUGUUAGCGGCGGACGGGUGAGUAACACGUGGAUAACCUACCUAUAAGACUGGGAUAACUUCGGGAAACCGGAGCUAAUACCGGAUAAUAUUUUGAACCGCAUGGUUCAAAAGUGAAAGACGGUCUUGCUGUCACUUAUAGAUGGAUCCGCGCUGCAUUAGCUAGUUGGUAAGGUAACGGCUUACCAAGGCAACGAUGCAUAGCCGACCUGAGAGGGUGAUCGGCCACACUGGAACUGAGACACGGUCCAGACUCCUACGGGAGGCCGCAGUAGGGAAUCUUCCGCAAUGGGCGAAAGCCUGACGGAGCAACGCCGCGUGAGUGAUGAAGGUCUUCGGAUCGUAAAACUCUGUUAUUAGGGAAGAACAUAUGUGUAAGUAACUGUGCACAUCUCGACGGUACCUAAUCAGAAAGCCACGGCUAACUACGUG